AAGUGAUGUCCUAAAAGAGCACAAUUUUCAGAAAUUGUGUGUUUAAGUGUGUUUAACUUUCGACUCACUUUUCAUUUGGAAAACUAGUGGCCAACUUCGGUACUUAACACACUUUUAACACACUUUCAGUGACGUCAUUGUGCAGGACCUCAAAUGUCAUCUUUUUCGGACUGACUCACACAUUUUCCCCGCCCUCGUCCUGAUAAGUCACAUCAAUUAGCAGUCACACAAAAUCCAACAUGUGAAGCAGCCAGACAAUCCUACUCUCAAACACGACCACGCGUGGAUGACCAUCGGGUAAGCAAUUCCUUUUCAUUUAUCUUACCGUAACAUAGAAGUUGUUCAAUAUAACCGUGUUUAACAGUGCCCACCAAAGGUAAUAUCAUUCAAUAAGACAGCUAGCUAGCUAGCUAGCUCGAUCGUUAGCAUGCUAAUAAGCUUCCAGUAAAAGUAAUGUGGACAUGUCCUGCAGGCAAGGUUCUGGAAAACUUUUCUAAAUCUUUAACAACACAGUCUGUGGAACUUGGUUUUGGUACCAUAUGUUUAUUUCAGUGCAGUAUUUGUUUUAUUCGAUUGCAGUUAAUUUAAAUUAGUUAGUACAGGUAGCCUAAUGAAAGUGGGCCAGGCACUUCUAGCAUUUACGCUAAGCCCGGUGUAUUUACACUGUUUAUUCUUGUGCUGAUUCAAUUGUACACCGUUUCAAUGAAAAAAACAAACAAACGUUUGCAAUGAAAUUAUAGCAGAAUUCAGCUUUGUUGGUACAUUUGGUCAAGACAAUAUUGUGUUACUCUAUUUUAAUUUUACAUUGUUAUCUGCCUGACAAAUGGUUUGCCCGAAUCUAUUAGUCUGACCAGCAAAUGUUUGAUGAAAUGAAUUUUUGUAUUUUUGAGGAAGAAAAUAAUAUUCCUUUGGCUCAGUACUUUUUGAGCCAAAAUAAGUGCUGCCAUAAUAUUGUGCUUGCUUGUCUGGCUGACUUCUUCUCACUUUCCAUUGUAGAUGUUUACUGGUGGUGAUAAUGUCACAAAGAAGAACCAGACUGAGCCCUGAAUCUGAGGCUGCUCCUUUUAUCUGGAGUCAACAAGCCUUGUUUGAAAGCCCAGUGGAUCAAUGAUUAUAAAGACACCAAGUGACGGGAUCUUGACUGAACCUUCUGGAGACCAAGAAGGGAGUGAGAGAUCCACUUCAUCCUUACAACAGACACCAAGUGACCUGACUGAACCCUCUGGAGAACAAGAAUGGAGUGAG